GAUGAAGAACUUAGCGAAAUGCGAUAAGUAAUGUGAAUUGCAGAAUUCAGUGAAUCAUCGAAUCUUUGAACGCACAUUGCGCCCUCUGGUAUUCCGGGGGGCAUGCCUGUUCGAGCGUCAUUACAACCCUCAAGCUUUGCUUGGUAUUGGACAUUGCCAGUUUCUGGCAGGUCUUAAAAUCAGUGGCGGUGCCAUUUGGCUUCAAGCGUAGUAAUUCUUCUCGCUUUGGAGAUCCAGGUGGUUACUUGCCAAUAACCCCCAAUUUUUUCAGGUUGACCUCGGAUCAGGUAGGGAUACCCGCUGAACUUAAGCAUAUCAAUAAGCGGAGGA
rnacentral:misc_RNA from 1 species